rnacentral:misc_RNA from 1 species
GAUGAAGAACGUAGUGAAAUGCGAUAAGUAGUGUGAAUUGCAGAAUUCAGUGAAUCAUCGAAUCUUUGAACGCACAUUGCGCCCUUUGGUAUUCCUUAGGGCAUGCCUGUUCGAGCGUCAUUUAAACCUUCAAGCUCAGCUUGGUGUUGGGUGACUGUCCGCUUCACCGCGGAAUCGCCUCAAAAUUAUUGGCGGCCGGUACAUUGGCUUCGAGCGCAGCAGAAACGCGAACUCGGGCCCGUCGUAUUGGCUCCCAGAAGCUAUCUUCACAAUUUUGACCUCGGAUCAGGUAGGGAUACCCGCUGAACUUAAGCAUAUCAAUAAGCGGAGGA